UAUAAAACAAUAGCUUAAUUCUACAAUUAAAAUAUAACGUUUUUCAUAAACAGUAAAAGCAGGAGU
rnacentral:tRNA from 1 species